rnacentral:rRNA from 1 species
UACGUAGGGUGCGAGCGUUGUCCGGAAUUACUGGGCGUAAAGAGCUCGUAGGUGGUUUGUCGCGUUGUUCGUGAAAACUCACAACUCAAUUGUGGGCGUGCGGGCGAUACGGGGCAGACUGGAGUACUGCAGGGGAGACUGGAAUUCCUGGUGUAGCGGUGGAAUGCGCAGAGUAUCAGGAGGAACACCGGUGGCGAAGGGCGGGGUCUCUGGGCCAUAACUGACGUGGAGAAGCGAAAGCAUGGGGAGCAACAGGAAUUAGAUACCGUU